AACGAACGCUGGCGGCAUGCCUAACACAUGCGAGUCGAACGAGACCUUCGGGUCUAGUGGCGCACGGGUGCGUAACGCGUGGGAAUCUGCCCUUGGGUUCGGAAUAACAGUUAGAAAUGACUGCUAAUACCGGAUAAUGUCUUCGGACCAAAGAUUUAUCGCCCAGGGAUGAGCCCGCGUAGGAUUAGCUAGUUGGUGAGGUAAAGGCUCACCAAGGCGACGAUCCUUAGCUGGUCUGAGAGGAUGAUCAGCCACACUGGGACUGAGACACGGCCCAGACUCCUACGGGAGGCAGCAGUGGGGAAUAUUGGACAAUGGGCGAAAGCCUGAUCCAGCAAUGCCGCGUGAGUGAUGAAGGCCUUAGGGUUGUAAAGCUCUUUUGUCAGGGAAGAAACGGUGAUUUCUAAUACAGAUUGCUAAUGACGGUACCUGAAGAAUAAGCACCGGCUAACUACGUGCCAGCAGCCGCGGUAAU
rnacentral:rRNA from 1 species